rnacentral:rRNA from 1 species
GAGCAGCCGAAGGUGGAGCCAAUGACUGGGGUGAAGUCGUAACAAGGUAGCCGUAUCGGAAGGUGCGGCUGGAUCACCUCCUUU